UUGAUGACCUCAGGAAUUUCUACCAAAGUUUCAACUCCACGCUGAGCAGAGGAUCAAUCAUUCAUAACUGCAAACACCUGUGUGACUGUGGGACUACACUUCAUGUUUUCCUUUUACCUCUGAUUCUCCAUGGCUGUGCUCUGCCACUUUCUUUGGUCAAGAGACCGACAUUAAAAGUUUGCUUUAAAAUGGAAAGGAAAAGACUUUAACUUGAUUAAGCUUGACUGGCCUGCCCUUGAUUAGAAAAAAACAGACAAAUUUCAAGUGAAACAUUACUCUUUGCCACUGAAAGAAAGAAAUUGCAGGUGUAACUAUUAAGAUAAAUAUUGUGCUUGUGCCAGUAUGUGUCUCGCUGAGUGGUAUUGGUGAGCCAACAUGCAGAGCAGAGGGACCCUUGAACUGGCACUCCUGAAUGAAAUGCAGCCAUUAUAGUUGUUUACCGGCGGGAGGAGAACUCAGAGUUUACUGUUAACUUUUGGGAUUAAAAAAGUGGAUAUACUCACUUAUCAGCCUGUCUGCAACAUGGAGUCAGACGUAUCAACUGUGUGGUGUUCAGGUGCUGCUCACUGGGGAGGAAAUGUACUUUGUGAAACUACAGACAGAAAAGAGGAAAAAGCAAAAAUAGCUGGGUGGAGCUGUUCCUGUGUCCUGUCAGUCACCUGCCUCCAAUCACUCAUCACUGCCCAUGGAUAUUUAAGAGCGGCUCUCUCUCUCCACCUUUCCCAGAUUAUGCCGUCUACUCUAGUGUGUCGCCUUGAUGUUGCU